UUAAAAAAAAAAUAAAAAUUAAAACUGUUCUUCUUGUUGGAUACCCCGAGGUGAUCCUUUUUCUAACUGAGGCUUUGCAAUGAGACUUAAAGCACAGUCCGAAGUGGUAGAAAUUGGCAGGAUCUGCACUCAGUUGUCCUAAAUUUCCCUGCUGGUCAGAGUUAAGGUCUUGUGCAUCCGUUCUGUAACUAUAGGUGGCUACCUUCGAUAUCGACAAAGCACUUCUUUUGGCACAGAAAGAUCUCCAUUGGCACGCCACGGUGGCUGCAAAUCGAUCUUCUGAUGGAGCGAUGCUCUGAAGGCUUAAAGGGAAAGCUUCUUCCUUCCUCCCCCCUUGGCACAACUCGAUGUCGGGCACAUUGUGAAGCUUCGGUGUUCUGAUUUCUCGGACAGUUGAUACCCAAAUCCUGGAGUUACUAUGUCAACUCUUGACUUUUACUUGUGUAUGCCAUUGUUUUGACUGUACCCGUGUCAGAUGAUGAAGCUGUAGGGGUGGGAGGGAGCAGAAUCGUUAUUCCAGUGUGUUGUGGACCAAACUUGCUGCCAGGAGUGGGGGUGGGGGUCAGCCACCCAGCCUUACUUUCAGUUAUCAGGGAUGAUCAACUGGUGAAAAGCAGCAGCUCUGCCAUGCGGCUCCGCUACCCCCACUCCCUUCUCUUGUGCUGUACCAAAGUUCCCCCAGGCUUUGGUUGGUGCUUUUUGUUGGUGUAAGGAAUCCGGGGCGAGCAGUCGGGACUCUGCCGCAGUCACGGGGUCAAUGAAGGGUUGUUUAAGUGCCUCUUGGUUUUAAAAGUUGCUCCCCUGAGCUGCUGGCUCUGCUGCCUGCUACAGCAAAUGUUCGGGUGCCAUCAGCAUCGCGCUUGGGCGUGGGCACUGACCCUGCGGAGGACAGAGCUGAGAUUCGGGUGUAUUGUGUACCCUGCCACCAGCCAUCGAUUUUUAUUUCUUUUUUUCCCCUAGCAGAUCAAUUUUGAAUUAUUUUCCGAACUUUUUGCGGCACGGUAGGCUCUUCCCGCUAUGAUUUGUGAAGCUGUGGGGGCCCUCAGGCAUUUGCUGCUGGCAGAGGAAAAGCGCUUGUUGAAUUUGUUGUAAAUACUUAAUGUUGGGACAAAACCACGCGUCUCUGUGUUGAGGGAUGGGGAUCAAGAAGCAACCCCACUGCUAUGCCAGAGUCCCUAUAGGCAGUGUGGGUUUUCUCUCUAUGCAAGCCUCAUUAUUCAGAGGCAGAGUAUGGCUUCGUCCAUUCAAGGUCCAGAAUCAGUUGUCAAAUGCUAGGCAAAGCCAGUGGCUCCUGGGCUAUGUGACAAACUAACCCUAGAGCAAAACUCCUCCUUGUCCUCUUACCUGGGGCCCUUUCUGCGAUGCCUUUAGGGUGAGUCAAGGCUAUGAUCUCCACCUUCUGGGGAUGGUGUUUGAGCUAUGUCCUACCUCAGUGCUGAGACUCUUUUGCCUCUGUAGAGGCCCUUUGCCAUGACACGAGUGACGAUGAGAAAUAAAAUCAACUAGCCUCUGAAACGUUCUUGUUCCCAAGCACAGUUUUUUCACUGGCUUGCUUUAACUCCUAGUUUUUGGCCGAGAAGCUAUUGUUUCUCUGUGCCUUUAAUAAGAGGCUUUCUCUGGAGCCAAGUCAGGAUGGCAAGAUUGAGCUGGGCAAGGCUAUCGAGGAGGAAAUUCAAUCUUCCCAGCUGGGUGUCUGACCCUUGGAGCCCGGGCCAACUGAUCUGAAGCGGCUGUAAAAGCUUUAUUUCGCAGCAUCGCUGUCUUCCCUGCUCGCAUUCUAGGCACGGUGUUUCUGCUGACAGCAUCUUCCACCUCCUCAGCAGAAGCUGCUUCUUUCUUUAAACGUAGUACAGGCUGGACGCAAAGAAAUCAACUGUUAGCGGUGCUUUUAGCUAUUUAAAUGGGGAGAAAACCAGCCAAUGUUUAUUUCUUUGUCCAGGGCAGCCACGAAUGCUUGCGUGACGUGGGCUCCUCUCCCACGUCCUUAAUUGCCAAGCCGGUAGCGGCUCUGGUGACGUGUCCCGUGGGUGUCUGUGCAGUGACGGGGCUGCCUCACCCCUGUGUACCCCAGGACAGACAUUUGGGGGGCUCUUUGCUGCUACCACAGGGCGCAACCUGCGGGUCCUGGGGCAGGCAGGAUGAGUGCUGCUGGGCCCGGAGGGUAGGCCUGGCCUGAGAGGAGACAGUAAAGGAGGCAGGUUUGGGGCUUAAAGCAGGCUUGUCCUGCCCCAGCCUUCUCCGGAACCUGUGUGCCUGGCUCUGGAAAGCCGUGACAAGACAUCAAAUGACUCGCAGCUUGCCAAGAGAGCUGCGGUGCUGGAGGAAUGGCCGCCUCAAGGGGCUGAGGCCAGGCACCAUCACGGGCAGGACUCGAGAGACGAGGCACGAUCUUGGCACAGACACAGAAGGGAAGGGGAAGCACUGCUCUGCUGGCCCUGAGCGGUGCAGCCCCAGGAGAAAAAAAAAAUCUGUGUUUCCUUCCGCUGAUGUCCACGCUGAAGGGGCAGAAGGGUUCCGUGCUGUUGCUUGGGUCAGCCUUGUUGCCAGGUUGGGAAUGUUUAGCCUCCCGGUGCUUCGGUGCUGUUGGGCUGCACUCAGAGUGUGAGCUCUGGGCGUUAUUUCUCAACUACUGCGUUAUUGGAGCGUACGGAGCCGAGAUAUUCUGCGGAUAGGUGAUUUAAGCCACGUCAGAACCACCGCUGUGGCGUGUGCCAGCGUCGGACGCCCAUUCGACUGCUCGGGCGGAGCAGGUGAAUUGAAUUUGGUGCUGGGUGGCGAGGUGGUGUUGGGGGAAGAGCUAGGCUAAGGAGAGCUUCCUCUUGCUCUGCCCCUUCCCAUCUCAAAUGGCCGCUUCCUGGGGAGAUGGGUUCGUUGGGAGGCUAACUACAACGUUACAGUGAGGAUGAGGAAUCCUCUUUAGUCCCGUAGGUAUUUGCUGCCAGGCCGCAGCGUUGAUUUCAGAAAUUGUAUUUAAAAAAGGAAAAAGAAAGGAAAUCCGUAUUGUUUAACAUACUCUCUUUUCUCGGAGAGUAGAUGGAGGAGCUUCAGCAGUGCCCUUCCUCCCGAAAGGCUUCCCAGUGUCUGCUCAGACACUGAGGAGGAAAAUAGAGGAGAGCCACCCGAUAUAAAUAAAGGCAAGAAGGGGUUAUGGAUUAAGGGAAAACCACUACUUCAAAAAUUGGUGCUCUCUACAAACCGGUUAAGGGUUUGGGACCUGCAGGUGCUGCCUCCACCUGUGUGCGUUGCAGUCGUGCCUGUUGCCACUGAGCAAAACGGGGAGAGCUGCUUUGUCGAACGCGGCGUGUUAAAGCACGUGCCACUGCCUGGAAGAAAAGCACGGACUUCCCUCGUGUGGGACUUCUUCCCUAGCCAUGUGUGGUUUACCUGAUGGUUUCCCAUAAGCUGUGAAUGUUUAAAAGAAAAAAACCAACAAAACCCAAGACCAACGUUGAGAGUGGUGAGGCAGAUCCUCACCUGGGGACUCAGAAUCAGCGGUGACAUCACCAUGCGAAGCAUUGUGUGCGCUUCGGGUCGGGGCUGCUGCGAGCCUCGCAGCGGGGAGGGAGAGCGGAUGCGGGGUGCCUCUGUGUCAGCCCUCUGCCCUGGUGGCUUCGUGAGCACUGAGAGUUUGACUCCUGUGUUGCCAGCUUUCGCUUCCGCACCUGCGGUGUGGCAGAGCCAGCGAGCUGCUUCCUCAGCUGGAGGAGGAAGAGGAGUGACCUCAACGUUGCCGAGCUUUGGAGAAAGUGAAGCAGAGAAAACCACACAUAACCACUGAUAGCUGGACCCCAAACUGCCACAGACUGACAGUGAUGCCCACUGGAUAUCUCCUGAGACCCUGCUGCCUUCUGCCUGCUCCAGCAGAAGUCCCGUUUGAAUUAGCCAGCAGGUCCCUCUGAGUGGCUUUGCUAAAACUCCCGCCGUAGGAAGUAUCCUACGGGAGCCAAGUUGCUAAACUGAUGGGUGGGUUUCCCUUAACCCCCUCACCCCUGACUUUCCAGCUCCUGACGACACUGCCAACGUGUGCAGUGUCACCGUGUGCCAACUAGGUGCCAGCUGCCAUGGUUUGUAUAUUGUAAAAGGAGUGAUUUGGGACUCGUGAGCACUGAGAACAGGUUAGCAAUUGCUUAAGAGCUUUACUUGUGUCGCUCUGGGGCAGGGAGAUGGGUGAAACAUCUUAGGCUUGAAAGUGAUUCCCUGCAGAGUGACGUGCUCAGAUCUGCACAACAGAUCUGUCGUUCUGGUCACCUUAUUAGAUCCCUGCUUGAGAGGGUGCUUGCAAGAAUCCAUUCCUCUUCACCUUGAUGUGUCAAGCUAAAGAGAAAUCCGUGCCGAAGCACUGUCUGAUCAGACGCGUGCCUCGGUUCAGGAUUGUUCUUUGACAGCUGCAGAAACACCAGGACAGUCGGCGCCUUCAGGAACAGAUUAAUUUAAUCUUGAGGCUGUCAUAAAACAGGUCCCUGAAGUUUGAAGACUCUUCCAAUAGUUUGGGCCAGCAAGGAGCAGCUGUAGCUGGCGGCUGCGGUAACUCGGGGCUCAGAGUCUCAGAGAGCGUGGUGAAAGGUGACCCCCAGCUGGCUGCUGGAGGAAGCUGAGGCAGCGUUCAGCUCUAACCUUUGCCUUCUUGGCUGGCAUCUUUGCACUCCUGCUGUCAGUGGGUGUUGAGUGUCCUUCCCCCCAGCCUCAGAACGUGCCCUCAGAUGUAGGCAGCGUUUAGCAGCUAGAAUUCACUCCAAUAUAAAGAGUACAAAUCAUGCGUUUUCUGCUUUUGCUUUGGAACUCUUAGCUUGAGGUUUUCCUGCAGGCCAUGAGGUUUCUUGCAGCAGCAGGGAGGAGUUCUGUUAGCAAGAGGCUGUUCUGUGCUUCGACUGUGGGAAGAUGAAUGGUUCCCUGUGCACCGUUAACUAGAACUUGACACCUAGCACACCGCACUUGCAGCCUGUGGGGUGCUUUAACAAGCAGGUAAAUCAGCAGAGGCUGUUUUGCAGCCGGGGUGAUGCUGGCUGAUUAAAAAGCAGGGGCAGAACAAGGAGUUUCUGGUGUUUGUUCUUGCUUGUCAUCCGACUCUCCACUUCCACUGUUCUUUAAAAAAACAAAAACAAAAAAAAAA